rnacentral:rRNA from 2 species
GUGCAAUGGCAUAAGCCAGCUUGACUGCGAGCGUGACGGCGCGAGCAGGUGCGAAAGCAGGUCAUAGUGAUCCGGUGGUUCUGAAUGGAAGGGCCAUCGCUCAACGGAUAAAAGGUACUCCGGGGAUAACAGGCUGAUACCGCCCAAGAGUUCAUAUCGACGGCGGUGUUUGGCACCUCGAUGUCGGCUCAUCACAUCCUGGGGCUGAAGUAGGUCCCAAGGGUAUGGCUGUUCGCCAUUUAAAGUGGUACGCGAGCUGGGUUUAGAACGUCGUGAGACAGUUCGGUCCCUAUCUGCCGUGGGCGCUGGAGAACUGAGGGGGGCUGCUCCUAGUACGAGAGGACCGGAGUGGACGCAUCACUGGUGUUCGGGUUGUCAUGCCAAU